rnacentral:lncRNA from 1 species
GCAGGGGUGGGCAUCCGGGCUAAGGCUUUACUUGGCGGCAGUCUCGUCGGAUUUUGCAGCUUCUGGGCCCCCAAGCUGGGCCCGCGACUCGAAGGUGACUGGGAUGGUGAUCUCGUUGGACUGCGUGGCUAGCUUGGGCAUGGGGGCCUCCACGGUCAGUGUGCCCUCAGGGGACAGGGAGGAGGAGACCUGAGUGGGGUCCACACCGGUGGGGCAGCGUGUAUUUCCGCGUGAAGCACCGGGAG